rnacentral:lncRNA from 1 species
AUUGAUCUCAGUAUGCCCGAGUGAGGCAGCCUGGUCGAAAGGCCCAUCAAAAUCGAAAACUUCGACAUCCAACACCGAUGGAGGUUCUUCCAUGGCGUCAAACUCAAGUAUUUCUGCAUAGCAUCAGAAUUAAAACAGGUUAGCAGAUAUCUUGAGGAUAAAUUUAAAAGAAAAUGGCCUUUCAAGAAAUUACCAUUCCAUUGAGGAUCAUGAGUUUGAAGCUUGACAGAACUUGUUCUUGUCUUGCCAUUGCAGGUAAAAACCACGUAAGGGUCUAAAUCAUUUGUUGAAUCCAGGGAUGCCAAAUUAGCACCCUCGAUCAAAGCUACGGUGAGAACCCAUCCAUCACCUUGAGCUUUGACUCCAUGAUCGCUUCCUGUUUAAAGUAUC